GAUGAAGAACGCAGCGAAAUGCGAUACGUAAUGUGAAUUGCAAAUUCAGUGAAUCAUCGAGUCUUUGAACGCACAUUGCGCCCCCUGGUAUUCCGGGGGGCAUGCCUGUCCGAGCGUCAUUGCUGCCCUCAAGCACGGCUUGUGUGUUGGGCCCCGUCCUCCGAUCCCGGGGGACGGGCCCGAAAGGCAGCGGCGGCACCGCGUCCGGUCCUCGAGCGUAUGGGGCUUUGUCACCCGCUCUGUAGGCCCGGCCGGCGCUUGCCGAUCAACCCAAAUUUUUAUCCAUGUUGACCUCGGAUCAGGUAGGGAUACCCGCUGAACUUAAGCAUAUCAAUAAGCGGAGGA
rnacentral:misc_RNA from 1 species